CACAGAAAUGGCAUCUUGGUCCUCAGAAACAUUACAGGGCCAAACUCCCGCCAUUUUUCUCUCCUAAGCUCUCGCAGCACUCACUCUCCCUCCUUCUCAGUCUAAGAACCCAACUACUACUCUUCCCUCCAUUUGAUGCUCACUCUCCGUUCAUGCUCUUCUCUGCGAUUCAUUUUCCUUCCUCAUCGCUCCAAUUUUUUCUCUUCUUUCCUUUUCUCCUUCUCCUCCUCUAAAUCUCCCUUUCUUCCUAAUUCUCCUCAUCUCGUUGUUAAAUUCAAUCCUAAGUCCACAAUGUCCUCUCGCCCCUCCGCUUUUGACACACUAAUGUCAAAUGCACGCGCCGCCGCUAAGAAAAAACCCCAGUCUCAAUCCACCUCACCCAAAAAGCGCAAAAACCCUGCUAAAACCCUCAAUUCCGUUGAAGCAGAAACUACCCCGAAUCCCACUAUCCCUGACUCAACUCAUUCUCAAGAUGAAACAAGCAAGUCCACAGUGGACCAUGAAAUUGUAACUAAAUCCCAAAUCUCUAGCUCGGAAAACCCUAGUUUAUCUAUGGUUAAAUUGGGUCAAGAAAGAGUUAUCAAUACCAAGAAACAACGUGUUGAAAUUGCGGACUUGAAGAGUAAGAUUGAGUUAUUAAAGAAGAGCCCGGGGGAUUUUGACCCCAAAAAGGUGUUGUCUUGGGAGAAGGGUGAGAGGGUUCCUUUUAUAUUUGUUUGUUUGGGGUUUGAGUUGAUUGAAAAAGAGAGCGGGAGGAUUUUGAUCACUAAUAUGGUGUGCAAUAUGUUGAGAACUGUAAUGGAUACGACGCCUGACGAUUUGCUAGCAUUGGUAUAUCUUUUGGCUAACAAGAUUGCUCCUGCGCAUGAAGGAGUGGAGCUGGGAAUUGGAGAAUCAAUCAUUAUCAAAGCACUUGCAGAGGCGUUUGGGAGAACUGAGAAGCAAGUCAAGAAGCAAUUAGAGGGAACAGGAGAUCUAGGCCUUGUUGCUCAAGCAAGCCGCUCAUCGCAAUCCAUGAUGCGCAAGCCUGAUCCAUUAACAGUUGCCAAAGUUUUCAAUACAUUUCGGCUGAUUGCCAAGGAAUCUGGGAAGGAUAGCCAAGAUAAGAAAAAGAAUCAUAUUAAGGCACUUCUUGUUGCAGCCACUGACUGUGAACCUCUAUAUUUAAUUCGUCUGCUUCAGGGAAAGCUGCGAAUUAGUUUGGCAGGACAGACUCUUUUGGCAGCACUGGGACAAGCUGCUGUAUUCAAUGAAAACCAUAGCACUCCACCUUCACACAUCAAUUCUCCUUUGGAAGAGGCUGCAAAGAUUGUUAAACAAGUCUACUCUGUACUUCCUGUGUAUGAUAAAAUAGUUCCUGCUCUUCUUAGUGAUGGUGUAUGGAAUCUUCCCAAGUCUUGUAGCUUUACUCCUGGUGUCCCCGUCGGACCAAUGCUUGCAAAGUCAAUAAAAAAGGUUUCUGAGAUAGCAGAUAAGUUCCAGAAUAUGGAAUUCACCUGUGAAUACAAGUAUGAUGGUGAACGAGCCCAGAUACAUUACCUGGAGAAUGGUACAGUCGAGAUAUACAGUCGAAAUGCUGAGCGGAAUACUGGAAAAUAUCCUGAUGUUAUUGUUACGAUUUCAAGAUUAAAGAGGAAGCCUGUAAAAUCAUUUGUCUUGGACUGUGAAAUUGUUGCUUACAACAGAGAGGAAAAAAAAAUUCUGCCCUUUCAGAUCCUUAGUACUCGGCCACGCAAAAAUGUCACAAUGAGUGACAUCAAGGUUAAUGUUUGCAUAUUUGCAUUUGAUAUCUUGUAUCUUAAUGGCGAACCCCUUAUUCAGAAAGAACUAGAAGUUCGUAGACAGCGGCUUUAUGACUCAUUUGAGGAAGAACCUGGAUUUUUUCAGUUUGCAACAGCAGUAACAUCAAAUGAUCUUGAGGAGAUUCAAACUUUCCUUAGUGCUGCUGUUGAUGCAAGUUGUGAGGGUUUAAUCAUUAAAACAUUGAAGAAAGAUGCUACAUAUGAGCCUUCCAAGCGAUCACUGAAUUGGUUAAAAUUGAAGAAAGAUUACAUGGACAAUAUUGGAGAUUCACUGGAUCUAGUACCAAUUGGGGCUUUCCAUGGUCGUGGGAAACGUACAGGUGUCUAUGGUGCUUUUCUUCUUGCUUGUUACGACUUUGAUAACGAAGAGUACCAAAGCAUAUGCAAAAUAGGAACUGGAUUUUCUGAGCAAUUGCUUGAAGAUCUAUCUAAUGGGCUUCGUUCUAAAGUGAUUCCUAAGCCAAAGCCAUACUUUAGGCAUGGAGAUAAAAUUAAUCCAGAUGUGUGGUUCGAGCCUAGUGAGGUGUGGGAGGUGAAAGCUGCGGACUUGACCAUUAGCCCUGUUUACAGUGCUGCACUUGGCAAAGCAGAGAGAGACAAGGGUGUUUCGCUGCGAUUUCCACGACUAGUAAAAGUCCGGGCAGACAAGUCUCCAGAGCAAGCCACAACAUCUGAGCAGGUUGCUGAGAUGUAUAACGCUCAGAAGCCUAAUCAACCAAAAAAUCAGGAUGACAGUGAAGAUGAUUGAGGCUUUCCAGUCAUUUGCAGAGAAUUUUCUUUGUAAAGAUCAGCAGCAUUGUGGAUGCCUGUGAGUAGAGUCCGACGAACACGGAUCAACUUUUGAGUUUAUUACUGAUAGUUGGACUGCAUGAUCAUGUCUUUCAGAUUUGUGCUCGUUUGCAUGGUGCAGGAUGCGUCAAAAUGAAAAUUUGCCAUCUGAUUAAAUUGUAUUCGGACUGUGUAAUGAUAAUAUGGAUUAAUUAUCCAGCCAUUAGAUUGAACCUGGCAAUCGUGUUAACUGGUAGUCUAUUGCGCGGAAAUUGGGUUGCCUCCGAUCAGAAGGCCAAUUAGACUAUUUAUUCACUAUAAUCAUAAUUAUCAACUAGGAGUUUUGAGGCUUUAUUUGGGAGAGGAAUGAAAAUGGGAGGACGAGAAAACAGUGGGAAAAUGUGAAGCGAGACCCAUCGCCUCCUUUUCCUCUCUUUCCCAAGCGUAGCCGAAGUCCUUGCCUGUGAAUUUGAAGAAACUUGGAUGGUUCCGACAUGGUUAUAAGCUUUUCAUGAAGUAAUAUAUACAGCUAAAAGCUAAGAGCAGAGCCAGAGAUUCAGAGGGAUAAAGGGCAAGGAGUUGAUAUUCUUGUGAGAAAUUGGUUUGGGCGAUCGUGAAUGCUUUCCUGCUCGGUUGUAAAAUGUCAUGUUAAACUGGUAAUAAGCGUGAUCUGCAUUCCCCUGUGCAGACUUCUAAUCUGGUUGAACACUUUGUUGGGUUUUUAACUUAAUUGAAUAAGAUGGAUCUGAGCUACUGUGAGUAUGACCUUUCUCAGGUCUUGUCUAUUCUUUUGAAUAAUCAUCCCAGUCUUUAGUCAAGUUUCUUAUUUCUAA